UGCACUCGGAAUCUAUAAAGGCACAUAUACUCUUCAUUUCCCCAGUUGGAAAGAACUCUCAGUUCCAGUAUUUGGAAUGCAUUUUGACCAUUCUCCUGGGAAAGGAAACAGCAAAACAACAAACCAGAGUUAGGUGCCUGGUACAACCAAUUGAAAACAUGAACAUUCACAGGAGGCAACAAGCAAUGCUGCAAGAAAAGCCUUGAUAAAGCAUUUUCUGUACUGCUCCCCAUUUCAAUUCAUGAGCAUGCAUUUUCUCUACAAGAAGAAAAGAAUUCUCACCUGAGUGCAUAUGUAUAGCCAGUGUUCUCUGGCAGACACUGGGGAGGAGUAUACGUGUGUAGACGUGAAAAGUCCAUGUUGACUGUUUCAAAUCAUACUGUAAAAGGUGGAAAAAAAAGUAAUGCAACGACUUAGAAGUACACAAAGCCAAUGUAAGAGCCCUUGCACUGUUCAGCCUGUGUUUGCAAGUACUGAAGUAAAGCAGCUACUGUUACCAGAA